rnacentral:rRNA from 1 species
AUCGAUGAAGAACGCAGCGAAAUGCGAUAAGUAAUGUGAAUUGCAGAAUUCAGUGAAUCAUCGAAUCUUUGAACGCACCUUGCGCUCCUUGGUAUUCCGAGGAGCAUGCCUGUUUGAGUGUCAUUAAAUUCUCAAUCCUUUCUGGGUUUACUCUCAGUUGGGCUUGGAUAUGGGGGUUUUGCCGGCUUUGUAAAACAAACAAAGUCAGCUCUCCUGAAAGACAUUAGCAAGACUCUUGUUGCAACCUUCUAUCUGGUGUGAUAAUUAUCUACAUCAUAGAUUUGUACACUAUGUCUAGCUUCUAACAGUCCAUUAAAUUGGACAAAACUCUGACAAUUUGACCUCAAAUCAGGUAGGACUACCCGCUGAACUUAAGCAUAUCAAUAAGCGGAGGAAAAGAAACUAACAAGGAUUCCCCUAGUAACUGCGGAGUAAGCGGGAAAAGCUC